rnacentral:piRNA from 1 species
UGAGACUAGAGGGAAGCUAUGUACUUUU